AGCUUUGCGCAGAGGCAGUGUCAUAGCCAAUGAGGUUCUACCGAGGCGUGACUAUUGCUAUGCUAGUUGAAAACUUUUCCCAAUACCCCGCCAUGUCGACGUGAAAUAUCGUCGGCAUAGGCAAUUUUUGGGAACCCUUUCGGGGG